GAUGAACGCUGGCGGCGUGCGUAAUACAUGCAAGUCGAGCGAACAGACGAGGAGCUUGCUCCUCUGACGUUAGCGGCGGACGGGUGAGUAACACGUGGAUAACCUACCUAUAAGACUGGGAUAACUUCGGGAAACCGGAGCUAAUACCGGAUAACAUGUUGAACCGUAUGGUUCAACAGUGAAAGACGGUCUUGCUGUCACUUAUAGAUGGAUCCGCGCCGCAUUAGCUAGUUGGUAAGGUAACGGCUUACCAAGGCAACGAUGCGUAGCCGACCUGAGAGGGUGAUCGGCCACACUGGAACUGAGACACGGUCCAGACUCCUACGGGAGGCAGCAGUAGGGAAUCUUCCGCAAUGGGCGAAAGCCUGACGGAGCAACGCCGCGUGAGUGAAGAAGGUCUUCGGAUCGUAAAACUCUGUUAUUAGGGAAGAACAAAUGUGUAAGUAACUAUGCACGUCUUGACGGUACCUAAUCAGAAAGCCACGGCUAACUACGUGCCAGCAGCCGCGGUAAUACGUAGGUGGCAAGCGUUAUCCGGAAUUAUUGGGCGUAAAGCGCGCGUAGGCGGUUUUUUAAGUCUGAUGUGAAAGCCCACGGCUCAACCGUGGAGGGUCAUUGGAAACUGGAAAACUUGAGUGCAGAAGAGGAAAGUGGAAUUCCAUGUGUAGCGGUGAAAUGCGCAGAGAUAUGGAGGAACACCAGUGGCGAAGGCGACUUUCUGGUCUGUAACUGACGCUGAUGUGCGAAAGCGUGGGGAUCAAACAGG
rnacentral:rRNA from 1 species